rnacentral:rRNA from 1 species
UACGUAGGGGGCUAGCGUUGUCCGGAUUUAUUGGGCGUAAAGAGCGUGUAGGCGGCCAGGUAGGUCUGCUGUGAAAAACUCGAGGCUCAACCUCGAGACGUCGGCGGAAACCAUCUGGCUAGAGUCCGGAAAGAGGAGAGUGGAAUUCCUGGUGUAGCGGUGAAAUGCGCAGAUAUCAGGAAGAACACCCGUGGCGAAGGCGGCUCUCUGGGACGGUACUGACGCUGAGACGCGAAAGCGUGGGUAGCAAACAGG